rnacentral:rRNA from 1 species
UACGUAGGGUGCAAGCAUUAAUCGGAAUUAUUGGGCGUAAAGGGCGCGUAGGCGGACGAGUAAGUCAGAUGUGAAAUUCCGGGGCUCAACCUCGGAACUGCAUUUGAAACUGCUCAUCUAGAGGGUUGACGGAGAAAACGGAAUUCCACGUGUAGCGGUGAAAUGCGUAGAUAUGUGGAAGAACACCAGUGGCGAAAGCGGUUUUCUAGUUAAUACCUGACGCUGAGGCGCGAGAGCAAGGGGAGCAAACAGG